rnacentral:rRNA from 1 species
UACGGGGGGGGGCAAGCGUUGUUCGGAAUUACUGGGCGUAAAGGGCUCGUAGGUGGCCAACUAAGUCAUACGUGAAAUCCCUCGGCUUAACCGGGGAACUGCGUCUGAUACUGGAUGGCUUGAGAUUGGGAGAGGGAUGCGGAAUUCCAGGUGUAGCGGUGAAAUGCGCAGAUAUCAGGAGGAACACCAAUGGCGAAGGCAGCUCGCUGGGACGGUACUGACGCUGAGGAGCGAAAGCAUGGGGGAGCGAACAGG